rnacentral:rRNA from 1 species
UACGUAGGGUGCGAGCGUUGUCCGGAAUUACUGGGCGUAAAGAGCUCGUAGGUGGUUUGUCGCGUUGUUCGUGAAAACCUGAGGCUUAACCUUGGGCGUGCGGGCGAUACGGGCAGACUGGAGUACUGCAGGGGAGACUGGAAUUCCCGGUGUAGUGGUGAAAUGCGUAGAGAUCGGGAGGAACACCAGUGGCGAAGGCGGCCGGCUGGGGGUGACCUGACGCUGAGGCGCGAAAGCG